GGAAGUUUAUAGUCUCCGGCUUUCUGCCGUUCGGCGCAGGAGCAUUUGCAAAGUCACCAAAGGUACUACGAGCCAAUGUCAUCUGGCCGGCACACAAGGAAGAUCAGCACCUGAAAUGGAACACCAGUCCAACACUAUUUUGACUGUUCUUUCAUUGACAUUAGAUCUACAUUCUGGAAGUCCUAAUCCAAACACAUUGUGGAAUAUCCAUCAGAUGGGUCAGCAAGUUACCAUGGUUUUUCACUCCCUACCUAACGAACAAUGAGAUGACAAAAUGUGGCAGUGAAGAUCACAGAAGUUCUAAGCAGGAUGGUACGACCAGCUAAUCAAUGGAGCUUAGAAAAAUAGAGAGCUCUCGGUAACCCUAGGUAAUUUCUGAAGUACAAAGUACACGCUUGGCACAGCAUUGUGGGCUGAAAGGGCUGUAUUGUGCUGUAGGUUUUCUAUAUUUCUAAUGGCAGAGAAAGAUCAAUGUGGAGAAAUGAGAUCGACGGUAGAAUGACGACACACAAUAUAGAAUACAGGACACUGUUCUAAAAGGGGUCCAGCAACAGGAGUAAGGAUGCACAAGUUAUUUAAAACUAGCAGGGCUGUUAAUAAGGCAAAAGAUGGGCUGAAUAACCUUCCACUACUCUGAUUCUAAUUAAAUCUGGCACCUGUACUAUUCCCUCAGAUACAUCUCAUGGUCCUGUGUGAUUCAAUUGAGUUUGAGGCCUGCGAGGUUCACUAUAUGAAUAGCUUUUGAUCCACUUAAAUGUCAAUGAUAGAUGAAAUUAAAACUGUCAAAAUGAGUUAAAAAUAUAUCAAUUGAAUUAUUAAAAAUUAACAUUAAGAUCACAAAAAUUUACAGUUUUAUAGUUAAAGUCAGCAAGUGCAUUCUAAUGAGGAGAGCCAUGCCUAUACAGCAGCCAACCCUGCUAUAAAUGAGAGGGGUUAGAUGCAGGCUAGGACAUUGCUCUCUGCUUCUGGAUUCAUUUCAAAGUCCAGUGAUGGAGCAAGCCCUCUGGAAGAGCCAGUAUUUGACCGCAAGCCCAUUCACGACUUUUGCAUUGUAAUAUGCAGAUGUCCAAACUAAGUAUGAGCUCACACUGGACCUUUCGUUAAAGAGCAGCACGAUAAGACCAGUGUGAGAGAGGUUUUAAUGCUUUGAAAUAUAGGAAGACUGGUCUGAAAAAUAGUAACCGAAUCUCAAGAUGAAGAGAAACUACUUCCAGCAUGUUGGAUUUUCUACCAGGUGAGGCCAGACAGAUUCAUUGAAUUGGAUUUUUUUUUUGUUUGAGGACUAACAAGGUGAAAAGUUGGAGAGAGAAAGCUGGAUCAGCAAAUUGAAUUUGAAAGAUUUGCUAUGAUUAGUGAAUUAUUUAUUGAUUAGUGAAGUAGGCUAACAGGGCCAAAUGGAUUUCUCUUGCUCCUAUUUUUCUAAUUUUCUGAUGACUCUUUGGUUAGGUUAAUCAGUGUGAGACAGCUGAAAGAGCGAAAAUUAAAAAGAUCCAGAAAGAUGUGUCGAAGAUUAAAAUCAUACUCAACCAGUUUAGGGUUUCACACCUAUGAAUAUACCAUUUUCCCCAUAAUAAAUGCUUUAUUCACCACCAUCUCAUCUUAUGUUGUCACGUGAAUAAGUAAAAUAUUGAACUCCAUACAAAUGGAAUACCCAAGGUUAAUUCUGUUAAGCUACACUCACAGGAAUCAGCCUGUACUUGAAGGAUACACAUGAAGCAAAAUUAUUAGCAUUGUGAAGUGGACUUUGUUAUAUUGGAAAAACUGGGAACUGCUU